rnacentral:lncRNA from 1 species
AUAUAGUUUGCAGUGAACUACUGGCAAAUCAAGUGACUGAUAAUUUUUGUACCAAUAAUAGCAAAUUUACAUGCAAAAACUGACUAAAUUAACUUACAAAGAGAUGAUCAAUGAUGCAUGGCCUGUUCCAAGAACUAAUUCACUCAUAAUAUAAUUCAGACAUCUAUCAUAUAUAACAUCCAUUUACUUUUUAUAUGAAAACACCCAACAUUAAAACUUCCCUCCUAUUAUCAAAGAAACAGGAAGUCUGAUUUUAGUACAGGGAGCAUGCUCAGUAUGCUAUAAAGUUUGUGUAGAAGUUCCAGCAAACUUUAGGACUGCUUUAAAGUUUGUUUACAAAGUUCCUUUAAAUUUAAGAACGUUAAGAGUUUGUGACAACCUUGCGGCAACUUUGAACAUAUGUUUGCGGACAGUUUGCUGCUAGCGGCAAACACUGGUGAACAACUUUCAGGUCUUCUGGCGAACUAAAAAGAUUGCUGCAACCUUACUGCAUGUUUGCAGCAAUGUUUCUCUUUUCAUAAGGGAUGUAGAGGUUUUGAGUUUCUCUCUAAAUUUGAGUUAAAAGAAAUUGAUUUGUUAUACAAGACAUUUAUUUUUUAAAGUGUUUUAUAAGGUUGAAGAUCCAUUUCCUUAAUUAGCUCACCUGGCCGAAAGGCCAAGUGAGCUUUUCUCAUCACUUGGCGUCCGGCGUCGUCGUCCUGCGUUAACUUUUACAAAAAUCUUCUCCUCUGAAACUACUGGGCCAAAUUUAACCAAACUUAGCCAUAAUCAUCAUUGGGUAUCUAGUUAAAAAAAUGUGUCCGGUAACACGGCCA